GGGUAACCUACCUAUAAAACUGGGAUAACUUCGGGAAACCGGAGCUAAUACCGGAUAAUAUUUCGAACCGCAUGGUUCGAUAGUGAAAGAUGGCUUUGCUAUCACUUAUAGAUGGACCUGCGCCGUAUUAGCUAGUUGGUAAGGUAACGGCUUACCAAGGCAACGAUACGUAGCCGACCUGAGAGGGUGAUCGGCCACACUGGAACUGAGACACGGUCCAGACUCCUACGGGAGGCAGCAGUAGGGAAUCUUCCGCAAUGGGCGAAAGCCUGACGGAGCAACGCCGCGUGAGUGAUGAAGGUCUUCGGAUCGUAAAACUCUGUUAUUAGGGAAGAACAAACGUGUAAGUAACUGUGCACGUCUUGACGGUACCUAAUCAGAAAGCCACGGCUAACUACGUGCCAGCAGCCGCGGUAAUACGUAGGUGGCAAGCGUUAUCCGGAAUUAUUGGGCGUAAAGCGCGCGUAGGCGGUUUUUUAAGUCUGAUGUGAAAGCCCACGGCUCAACCGUGGAGGGUCAUUUGGAAACUGGAAAACUUGAGUGCAGAAGAGGAAAGUGGAAUUCCCAUGUGUAGCGGUGAAAUGCGCAGAGAUAUGGAGGAACACCAGUGGCGAAGGCGACUUUUCUGGUCUGUAACUGACGCUGAU
rnacentral:rRNA from 1 species